AGGAGAAUAGUCUGUCAUGGCCAGGAAGGCACAGCAUCAAGACAAACUCAUCUGUGGUCGCUGAAGCUUGAGACUGCACACUUGCUCACAUCUCCAUGGACCAGGGAGCAGAAAGAGGACAGGAAGCAGGUGUGCCUGGACCAAAGUCUUUGAUGGGUUCAAGAACUUGGCAACAAAAUGCUCCACCCAAGUUACAAGGAUCCAAAGGGAUCUUCUCUCCAUGUGAGGGUGAUCACCAGAUGGACAGAUUGACUGAGGAAAGAUCAGUAAAGCUCUGGAGAGAUGAGAACAGACUGCUGCUAUCCAGAGAGCUUCAUGGAUGAUCCAAGAGCUGCUCUCUAUCCUGAUGUGACCCUCGGGGCACCUUCUCCAGAGUUCCAGAAUUGCCUCUUAGGAAUACAUGCAAUCAAUCUGACAACACCCAGGAGCUGUGAUUGGAUGGCCAGUGUCAGGUGGUGGAUCCAUUCUUGGAAUCGGCACUUCCUAGUGGAUUGCUUGGGGUUACACUGGCAGGACCCAUUCUGUGUUGGUGAUCUGAACCUUUGCUCUGCUCACUUGUCCUGCAAGAUGGAGAAGACAUGCCAGAUCCUUUGGCCAUUUUGAGUCUUCCAUCUCCUUUUUCUUUAUGACCUUGAAUUUGGGGCCUCAAAUCUUUUCUAAUAGAAGUUGAAGGGGAAAAAAAAAACAGGAAAAAGUGAAUAAAAGACAUGCAUGUGGU